ensembl:lncRNA
AUUUAUUCUAUUUUGAGCAUGUUACAAUUUUUCCAUGAUAAAAGUCUUUUUAAAAUAUCUCCAAAGACACAGAAUCUUCUUUGAAUUCAAAUGCCUUUAGAGUCUUUGUUCUUCAGUGGCAUUGGGAAGCCUCAUUUGUCUAGUAACAUGUCACUUCCAAGGGAAAUCCCCUUCCUUUGUGAUCUUUGAUAUCCCUGCUCUGUCCUGGAAACAACUUCAACACCUGCACUAUUCUAAAACCCUGGGUUUUAAAAGCUGCUUUCUACCUCACCUUCUCAGACUUCGGCUCUCACAUAUAUAGUAACAAACAUCAUUUGGAGCACAGAAAAUUCCAACUUUGCUUGCCUUGCUGGGAACUGUAAAAGGCUUCCCAUAGUGGGCAGAGCCCCAUCUGUGGAAUCUUGCAGGAGUCACCCUUGCCAUUUAAGACAGAGGAGUUGGUCAAAGGCUGAUAUGCUCUGCCCCCUUCAUGCACCCCUCUUUCUCUGCCUCCUUCAUCUCCUUCCUAUAGUGGGAAGUUACCAAUACGGAGUCAGGUAGAAACAUAAGGAUAUUUAAUAGGAAAAAGCCUUACUUACAGAGCAACCUAGCCAGCCGGCGUGGCAGCAGUCUGUACCGCAAGUACAAAAGUGAAACCGAAAGAGAAAACGCAGUCCCCUGAAAGUCUCACUCUAUGUCACCCUGACCACGCCCUCGCAAGCGUGGUCAGGCACACCUGUAGCCAGCCCUAAGUAGGCAUGGCUACAGCUUCCCCUACAAUUCCCCUUUUAGUCUAAAAGAGGAUUAAACCUUAACAGUGUAAAGUAUCCAAAAUUAACAAUCAUAAAGGUAAAAUAUAAGAAGAUACAACAAACUGCUUAUGUCACAUCCUAACUAUCUAUUUUAACUAAACCCUAAAGUCAUCUGAAAGAGGUGUCCAAGCCUGAACACCUCCUUCCAAUCCCAACCAUAAACAAUAGGAAGCUAUCCCUAACUAGGUAUAUACACUAUCCUAAGUGACAACAAUGGGGAAAGGGGGCGUAGCAUCCUCCAAGUUACUUCCUGCUGAAAUGGGACGAUGAUAGUCAUGUGGGGUCCUGUAGGAAGAAAAUGUUAGUGUAGUAAAAGUCUUGAAUGGAUUGUAUCCAGUCCAUGUUAGAUGGAAUUCUCUUGAUAGAAGAUCUCGCUUGAAAUCCUCAACUUGAUUGAAGUCAGUAUCCGAAGCUUUGGCCAGAGUGUCAGUUGAAAUGGAGCAAGUUGGAUCCAGUGCAGUCGAGGAGGUGUGGCCCAUUUUCUUUGCAGGGUGUCCAGGGAUUGCUGGCAGGCAGGUCUUCAUUGGCUGUGUGGGAUUCAAACGUAAACAGCAGAGAACUGUCAUUUGUCCUCGUCAAGAGGUUUUUCCUUUUCCACUCGAAUCUUGAUCAACUUUGAUGGUAUCCAAAGUUUUUCUUCUCCUGUAGAAACCAAUGCAAAACCCUUACCCCAAUGUAACACAUGUUCUGGUUUCCAUACAGAGGUUAGUACAUCUUUGAAGUAUACCGGCUGAUUCAGUUCAGCAGUUUUCUCCAUAGUCCAGUGUCUUUCUGCAGCUGUUUGUCCUUUCUCAUUGGCAUUAAGAAAGUUUAGUGUUAAUGCUUGUAUUUCCACAGAAAAUGAAAAGCUGUGGAUUCCUUCCAGACUAAUAUGGUUUGAUCAAGCAAGACCCCCCUGAAGCUGAGACGAUACAGCCUUACAGACUACAAAAACAAGGACUUGGUCAAGUUUCUACGUUUUAUCGUGAUCCCCAUGGUAUAUGAACAUUGCCCCCAAUCAGC